rnacentral:lncRNA from 1 species
UUAUUCCUUUGUAUCCCAAAUCUAUUGUUACCCUCUCAGGAAGUAAUUGCUUGAACAUUUGUUAAGUGUUUCUUCAAGGACUAAUAAAAUUCUUGAAAAACAUAGGGUCAAGUAUAAGAGCUUCUUCUGUGUUUAUAUCAGUCCAUUAUUCAUAUUAUCAAUAUUCUUUAGUAUUCUUUAGUUACAUUAUGUACCCAGACAGAGAAAUACAUGACCAAAUCUUUUAUCAAGUGGUCUCUAAUCAUUACUACUGAACACUUUAUUACUUUUUCUUAAAAAGAGCAUUUCCAAUUAAUGAAAGAAUAAGAAAAAUUAUUAAGUGCAUAAAAAUUUGUAAUUUAUUUCAAAUAAUUUCUUUAAAAAUAUUAUAAUUCCCUCCUGGUCUCUGACCUUUGACUUGAACAUCAAAUACAAUUUUUGUUUAGAUCAUGCAUGGUCAGUUGUGUGGUUAUGGAAAAGUACCUUCCAAUGUAUGGAGAAAGACCAUUCAAUUUCUGACUGUUUCUAAUUUGACCUUAGUGAUGUCUAAUUAUCUCAAAAACAAAAAUCUGUGCAUGCAUCAGUCCUUCUUUAACUCUGAAUUUGAUAAGGCAAUCUACUAAAAUAGAAGGGAGUUAAAGGAUAUUAUAAAAGGGAAAAACAUUUAAUUUAGUCACAAUAAAUUAUUCACUUGCUCUUUACAUACUAGUAUAUGAUAGUAUUUGUUAUGUACUCACUACUAGGAAAACACAUUUUUGUAUUAAAGCCUCCAUGUCUUAAAGGAAUCCUAUUAGCAGGUUAUAGCAUCUUCAUUUUGCCAAUGAGACAUGGAGAAAUAAAAAUCUAACAUUAUUGAAUGCUUCAUUUAUACUAGACACUUAUAAUUGCUUAAACAUGUUAAUCUUCACAGCAAUGAAAUAGGUCAGAAUUAAUAUCAUUCCCAAUUUAUGUAUGGAGUUAUAUUGCAAAGAUACAUUAAAAAACUUGUCCAAGGGCACACAAUUUAGAGAUUGAGAAUUCAGUCCUAGGCAAUCUGGCUUCAACACUUGUUCUCUUAAACUUAAUGUUAUAGUUGCAUCUAUAUAAGAGAACCAGGACUCAAUCUCAGAAAUCCUAGCUGUGAAACCCCAUUCUUUAAAUGUUACACUGUAUUACCAACAGUCUGUUUCCUGUAAUGGCAAAUUAGGUUAUUUUUAACCAGCAUUUACACUAAAAAAUCUGGACAAGAUAUUUUUAGAAACGUAUGUAAGUGUUUUAGGAACUGGCCAAUGCAGUGAGGCAUUACAGGGUUUGAAUAAGGAGAGAAGAGAAGCCAAAAAAGCCAGGAAUUUGGGCCCUUUAAUUCUUGAGAUAUGUGCAGAUUCAAAAAUACAGUGGCUGGGAGAGACUAUACAAAAAUUUGGCAGACACCUUGGAUGGUGGGAGAAACUGCAGCUCCAUGCUUUCAACUGGGACACAAUUAGGAACCUUAAAAAUAUACCUUAGGAAUAAAGGUUAACCAUAAAUUGGCCUCACUACUUUAUUAGAUUCAUGUUAUCUGCUAGCUGCCUAACGGAAACAAAACUCAAUGCUUUCUAAAGUAAGAUUAGUAUAAGAGAACAUAGGAUGUGGUUAAAGGUCUGACUUAUGUUUAAUUCAGAUCCCAAAUAGGAACGAGAUAACUAGGGUAAAAUAAACAGUUAAAAGGCUAAUGACUGAAAAAUUUCCAAUACUAACUGAAAACCUCAAGAUAAAGACUAAGGAAGAUCUGAGGAUUCCAACUGGGAAAAUUCAACCAAAACUAUACUUAGGUCCAUCAUAUAAAAUCUGGUGACAGAUAAAAUAUAACUAUUAAUAAAGCUGAAGAGGUAUAAAAAAAUUUAGGCCCCUUCAAAAAAACGAAAAUAAGACUAAUAGUUAACUUAUUAGCAGAAACAAUGGGAGCCAGAGGACAAUUUCCAUAAAACACUAGAAGUUAAUAACUGCCAACCCAGAAGUCUAUACCCCAUUAAGAUAUUCUUUGACAAAUAAACCUACUUAAAGUCAUUUUCAAAUAAAAACUUAGGUAAUUUGUCACAAGCAAAGCUGUAUAGAAAGUAUUAAAGGGUGUUUGAGCACAAAGAUUAGACUUCUACAUAAAUGUUCUGAUUUGGAAACUAUAGGACCUUAAGAGAAGGAUUAGGAACAUCUCAUUGGAUACAUCGGGAAAUCUUGUACUGACUUCAAAGAACAUGGCCUUUGUAGACUCAGUAUCUGAGUACAAGCUAAAAAUAGACUGUUCCUACCCUUCAGUCCCACUCAAGUGUGGCCUUAAAAGGCAGGAGAGAGAUAAGAGAAAAAGUUUCCACUGGACAGAGAUUUGAAUAGUACAGUCAUUAGAUACUGUUUUUGGUAUGUUAGAAAAGAGAACUGUUUCUAUGUAAUGUGUGUGUAUGAAUAUGUAUAUAUAAGGAACUAGUGGUUUGGUCAUGUGAUUGGGAGGAAAAUAUUGGAAGAUUAGAGAGAAGGUUGUCUGGAGAAGAAGCACGUGGCAUGAGGUUGAAACUUCAGGAGUAUACGUAAGUGUAAACAUCCUUUAAUCCCAUAUUAAUGCCCAACAGACAGCAUUCACCAUCAACAACAAAGUAGAUAGAGGGACUUAACCAGUUGAUGUCAGCAAGCCUCUAGUCAGAGUUGGCACAAUGAGUGCAUGAGCCCACUACUAAAAUAAUGCACUACACCUUGAGGAAAUAAACCAUCCAACUGGUAGCAAGUUGAUCAAUGGAAGAACGAUGCUCCGUCUUGAUGAGUUUUCAUAUGGCCUUUCCGUCAGAGCCUCAUGUUGCAACAUUAAUGGAAGUAACAGAGUGUUUGAUUCACUGGGAUACUCAUGUUAGAACAAGGGACGUACUUUUCAUCAAAGGAGGUGAUGCAGUGGGCACAUGAUGAUGGGAUUCAGCGACCUUAUUGCUUAUAACAAUAGCCAGAAAACACCAACCUGAUAGUGUUUGAACAGCAUACGAAUGCCAGCUCGGAGAUAAUAGUUGGCAGGAUACCCUGCGUCAGUGGGCCGUCACACCUUCAGGAUUCAGGAAGACCAUUAUAUCAAUGGUCAUUGGAUGCUCUGUCACAAUAGACAGAAUUUAUGGGUCCAGAAGUCAAUAUAUAGGAAUGUUCCUACUUACCAUUAUGCCCAGUGGCCCACUUUGGAAAUUUGAGGUUUAUUCCCUACAAAUCCAUGCUUUGUGCAUAUAGAGGUGCUGAUUUCCAGAAAGGUAUUAACUCUACCUGCACAGAGAAGCAAGGAACUAGUAAGGAAAGAAAGGUGUGAUCUUCCUAUCUGGAGAAGGUGGAGUAGCUGCUAAACUGGGAGGGCAGGAGGAACAUUUUGACACUAGGUGACACACUAUGGAGAUUCUUGAUACAUUUUUGCCCAAGUUUGUCUGUUAAUUGCCAAGUACAGUAGCAUUGGCUUGAAAUGUUGCUGUUGAUUAGGGACCCAGAUCCCUCAGAUCAUUGUACUAGGUAAGUCUCUAUUAAUUCACCAGUAGAGGUGAUACCUGAGGAUGGUGGAAACCUGUUUAGAAUGGGAAUGAGAAGAUGGAAAUAAGACCAACUGCUGUGAUAACAGCUCUAAGCUAUCUCAGAAAUCUUUAUUGUGCAGGUUUCCUUAGUGAAAGAGACCACACAAACCUGAAGGAACUAUUUCCAGAUGAAGAAACUUUAAUACAAAGCAAAUAGAUCUGAGUGGGAAAUGGGUGGAUGUUUUGGUAUGCUUCUCAGACACACCCCAUUUAUUUGCUACUGAGGCACUCAUUCCUUACCUACUGGGAGCUUUGGCUAUUGAUGGCUUACUGUUGAGUCUCUCACUGAGGAUUUCCUUCAACCAAAAGAAGUUGUCUCACCUUUGUCUUACUUGAUGCAGGAGGGGAGAUAUAAGGCCUAUUUCUUAAAUACUGUCCCAGGUUGCUGUGAAACUGUCUCACAGUUCAGAUGUCCUCUUCUUCCCAAUUAUGUUUGUCUUGCACCCUGACACGUGUUAUACCCAUGAGUUCUCCCCAAUAUAUCUCCUGUUUGCAAAUGUCACUUUCAGAGCCCAUGUCCCAGAGAACCUAAUCAGUGAUAUUGUCAAGAAUGCAUACAGCCACAUAGCUUAUUCCAUAGUUUAAGGUUGGAGGUAAGGAAAUACUUAGUACGAAGUAUACAGAUAAUAAGUAAUCUGGAGAAAUAUGAGUAUGUUUGAAGCCAAAUAAAUCCAGAAAGUAGAAACAUCAGCAUUUGUUCUUUAACUAUGGGUAUGGAAGGGAUGUUUGGUCACCUUUGAUUUUUCAGGCAUUUGAGCGUCAGGUGAUACACAGUUUAAACUAAGAAGAGAGCAGAGUUUGGAGAGAGAAUGAAAUAUUCACUCUGGGGCGUAAUUUUAGUUGCUUUGAGAUUUCUGAGCAGACCAGUGGUAUGCAGAUGAGGACUGAGAGCAUAGGGUUAGAAGGAAUUGCUUCAGGGGGCUGUUAUUCUAAAAAGAGAAAUGAGUGUGUCAAACCUGAAGAAUGCAGACUUUUAGAGACGACCGAAGAAAUGGAAGUAUACUAAAAACAGGGAAAAUAAAAGUUGUUGGAUCGAAUGAGUUUCCAGGGAGGUGGGGCUACGCAGAAAGACUGAUACAUCUUUUAAGAAAGAAAAUAUUUCAAGAAUAGUGCUAAUGGUAAAUAAAAUUCAUAUUGAGGACAUUCUGCAGAGUUUAGAACCACAUGUUUUUAGUAAUUUUUAUUUUAAUUUUAGUAAUUAGAAAAAAUACUAUUUUAUGAGAUGCAAGUGGAACUGGGAGGAGAGAUGAAUGGAAUGAUGCCAAGAAUACUUGGUAAAAAAGUAAAGAGUUUUUAAACAUGUUGGAGUGUUGAUGGGGGAAAAAGUAGAGAGGGAAGUUUGGGAGGCUUGGAAAAGAGGAUAAUUCACAGUGAGGUGUCAGAGGAGGCUGGAAAGAUGAAGUUCAGAACAGUUGAUUAGCCUUAAAAAUUAGGAGAAAUAUUUUCUGAACCUUACAGUGGUGAAAAGGAAAUUGUGUGGAUGAAUCUGUAGUUACUAUAGUUUUAUUAAAUAUGAUUUUAUUGUAUAUCUGAUUUUACAUAGAUACAUAAUUUAAGGUGUGAACAUUAUAAAGAAUUCCUAAUACACUGGAGUAUUCCACCAUGUAAAUCAAUUUGAAACCCUAAAAUAGCUUUGAAGAGAUUGUUAAGUUAGUGCUGAGUUCAAUUCCAAUAUUGAGAAUCCUUUCGAGAAUGGAUUGCUUUUAAUUUCAGAAUAACUUUGGGUUUAUUACCACUAAAAUAACUAAGAAAAAAAAUAUUAUAUUAUAGGAACAAAAAAUCAACACUUUAAGAAUUUUAUGCAAUGUAUUUAUUACAAGCCUAGUACAGUAUGAGUGGUAUAAAAGACAAAUAAUAUACAGACCCAAUAAUGAAAACUAAGCGGGAGGUUCUAUGCCAAAUGAAAAACAUAAAAGUGAAAUAAAAACUCAAAAAGAUUAUGGGAUUAUUGCAGUAA